rnacentral:rRNA from 1 species
AUUUNCCUUCUCCAUGACACAGGGAGGUAGUGACAAGAAAUAACAAUACAGGGCGAAUGUCUUGUAAUUGGAAUGAUGGUGACCCAAACCCUCACCAGAGUAGCAAUUGGAGGGCAAGUCUGGUGCCAGCAGCCGCGGUAAUUCCAGCUCCAAUAGCGUAUAUUAAACUUGUUGCAGUUAAAAAGCUCGUAGUUGUAUUUUUGCGUUGACGGUUUGACCAUUUGGUUGGUUAUUUCGUUUUCGCUUUUGGGAAUUUCCCUUUUUACUUUGAGAAAAUUAGAGUGUUUCAAGCAGACUUUUGUCUUGAAUACUUCAGCAUGGAAUAAUAGAGUAGGACUUUGGUUCUAUUUUGUUGGUUAUUGAACCUUAGUAAUGGUUAAUAGGAACGGUUGGGGGCAUUUCGUAUUUAAA